UACGAAGGGAGCUAGCGUUGUCCGGAAUCAUUGGGCGUAAAGCGCGUGUAGGCGGUCCGGUAAGUCCGCUGUGAAAGUCGGGGGCUCAACCCUCGAAUGCCGGUGGAUACUGUCGGGCUAGAGUGCGGAAGAGGCGAGUGGAAUUCCUGGUGUAGCGGUGAAAUGCGCAGAUAUCAGGAGGAACACCAAUUGCGAAGGCAGCUCGCUGGGACGUAACUGACGCUGGAGACGCGAAAGCGUGGGGAGCAAACAGG
rnacentral:rRNA from 1 species